UACAGAGGGUGCAAACGUUGUUCGGAAUUACUGGGCGUAAGGCGCGUGUAGGCGGCAAUACAAGUCGGAUGUGAAAUCCCGCGGCUUAACCGUGGAAGUGCACCCGAAACUGUAUCGCUAGAGUCCCGGAGAGGAUGGUGGAAUUCUUGGUGUAGAGGUGAAAUUCGUAGAUAUCAAGUGGAACACCGGUGGCGAAGGCGGCCAUCUGGACGGUGACUGACGCUGAGACGCGAAAGCGUGGGUAGCAAACAGG
rnacentral:rRNA from 1 species